rnacentral:ncRNA from 2 species
AAGAUGUAUGCUCAUGCUCGCUGUCGCCGCAGGGGAAUCCGGUGCGAAUCCGGAACUGUCCCGCAACGGUGUACUUGUGCGUGUCCGUCCUCCCGACGGGUGCGUACAAGCGUCAGUCCGAGGACCUGCCGACAGUGCGCCCGACCG